rnacentral:rRNA from 1 species
AACGUAGGAGGCGAGCGUUAUCCGGAAUCACUGGGCGUAAAGGGCGUCUAGGCGGGUCGUCAAGCGUGGUGUGAAAGCUCCUGGCUCAACUGGGAGAGUGCGCCGCGAACUGACGGUCUAGAGGGUAGGCGACGGGGGUGGAAUUCCCGGUGGAGUGGUGAAAUGCGUAGAGAUCGGGAGGAACACCAGUGGCGAAAGCGGCCUCCGAGCCUAUACCUGACGCUGAAGCGCGAGAGCGUGGGGAGCAAACGGGAUUAGAAACCCUCGUAGUCC